rnacentral:rRNA from 1 species
AGAGUUUGAUCCUGGCUCAGAACGAACGCUGGCGGCGUGGAUAAGACAUGCAAGUCGAGCGAGAUUUUUUCCUGUAGCAAUACAGGGAAAAGUCUAGCGGCGAACGGGUGAUUAACACGUGGGCAACCUGCCGUGAAGUGGGGGAUAGCUCGCCGAAAGGCGAAUUAAUACCGCAUGUGAUUAGAAAGGACAUCCUUUCGAAAUUAAAGUCGGGGCAACCUGACGCUUCUUGUGGGGCCCGCGGCCUAUCAGCUAGUUGGUGAGGUAAUGGCUCACCAAGGCUUUGACGGGUAGCUGGUCUGAGAGGACGACCAGCCACACUGGGACUGAGACACGGCCCAGACACCUACGGGUGGCAGCAGUCGAGAAUUUUUGACAAUGGGGGAAACCCUGAUCGAGCGACGCCGCGUGGAGGAUGAAGGUCUUCGGAUUGUAAACUCCUGUCAUUGGGGAACAAUGCGUGACGGUUAACUGCCGUCGCGUUGAUAGUACCCGAAGAGGAAGAGACGGCUAACUCUGUGCCAGCAGCCGCGGUAAUACAGAGGUCUCAAGCGUUGUUCGGAUUCAUUGGGCGUAAAGGGUGCGUAGGCGGCGCGGUAAGUCGGGUGUGAAAUCUCGGAGCUUAACUCCGAAACUGCAUUCGAUACUGCCGUGCUUGAGGACUGGAGAGGAGACUGGAAUUUACGGUGUAGCGGUGAAAUGCGUAGAUAUCGUAAGGAAGACCAGUGGCGAAGGCGGGUCUCUGGACAGUUCCUGACGCUGAGGCACGAAGGUCAGGGGAGCAAACGGGAUUAGAUACCCCAGUAGUCC